CAACCCUCCACGCCUGAGUCCUGUUCUUCUCUCCUCCCAUAAGUAACUCUCGUACUCUCUGUCUCGCUGUCUCUGACUCUCUGUCUCUCUGUCUCUGUUUCUUUCUCUCUCAUGUCCAUUAAAAUGUCUAUGUCCUGGAAUGCUCUGGAAGACGUUUUGGACCGUGUUGCAGAAGGAUUUGGUAGCGGUGCUUAGAGCUCCUGAUGCCUGAUUAUAUCAGAAGACUAACGGCAAAAGUCAGGUCCUCACGGGAGAACUAAGAAGCACGUCUGGGACGGAACAGCAAGAUUAGCCCUGAGCUAACAUCUGCUGCCAAUCCUUUUUUUUUUUUUUUUUUUGCUGAGGAAGACUGGCCCUGAGCUAACAUACAUGCCCAUCUUCCUCUACGUUAUAUGUGGGAUGCUUACCACAGCAUGGCAUGCAAAGCAGUGCCAUGUUCGCACCCGGGAUCUGAACCAGCGAACUCAGGCCACCGAAGUGGAACGUGCAAACUUAGCCGCUGCGCCACCAGCCUUUCCUCACCCCGCCCCCGACCCAGGCCCUAUAUUCUUCAUCUUAAUCCAGGAAGUACCUAAAGAUGCCAAGUCCCUGCUUAGCCAUGAAGUGCAUGAGUGUCGAUGGAGAAGUCGAUCUCUCGAAGCCUCGGCCUCCUCCUUUAUAAAAUACAGAAAACUCCAUCCAUUUCACAAGCUACUAGAGAGACUUAGUGAGAUAACGGAUAGACAUAAUAGCAACACAAGAAGAUUCCUUCAAUAAACACUGUGUUUGUCGAAUGAGAGUCUCUGAUCCUCCUUCUGUAAUGAUGAGAAUAGCCUUCCGUCCUAGUCCUGGGUCUGGAGGUCCAAAUGGAAAUAUCAAUCUAUGAACUUCCCAACCAGCAUCACAGCAACACCAAAUGACAUAAUGGAUGGAUAAGGGCCUUGGAUUUUAUAAAACACUGUAAUGGCAUCACUACCUCCCUUCCACAUCCACACGCACCUUUCUACCUGGAUAAUUCAAAACUCAGCUCAAGGGCCAACUCCUCUGGGAAGCCUUCCUGGACUGCCUGGCCUGAGCUUUAAUGGCCCUCCUUCUCUGGGCUCCCAGAGCCUCUCACAGUGCACCAUGCCUGCAUGUUUUCUUGCCCAUCACUUCCUCUGAUCUGGAGGGUAAAGGUCAAAGUCUGUAUCUUUCCUGUUUGCAUCUCCUGGAGGUACGGCGCCCGCCAGAGUGGGUACACAGAUGUGUUUGUUGACAGAUUCUUACUGAUGAAAUUUAAGUCAUUAUUAAGAGCAGAGGACUUCUAUCUCAUGAAGUACCGCUUUCACACAGUCUUCCCCUAUCCCUUGACUGGACAUAAUCUCGCUUUAUUCAGAACCACCCAGAGUAUUUUCUGUCUUCCUCUCUCAUGGGACUUGUGGCAAGUCAUCUUCCUCUCUGGUCCUGAUGAGAGCAACAAUACUCGUGCUGAAGCUUGAGGAGCAGAGAGAUGGGAAGAUGCUUUGAGGGGAUGAAGAGAGAGGAGCUAUGGGGGGAGAGCCUGGAACUCUUACCUCAUUUCCCUACCUCUCCUUUUUCUGUGGCACCAGGAACACAUUUUAGAGACUGAGUCAGGAUUAACUCUCAGCCACGCGUUCACUUCCCUGCCUGCUCUGGAAUGCCUGACUCUUUGCACUGUGAUUUUCUUCUGUGGAAGCCACCAGUCCUUCCCACCAGCCUCCUGCGGCUGACGAACACGUGGGUGAUUUCCCCGUGUCCUCAAGACAGUGGUUCUCAAUCCUUAUUUCACACUGGGGUCAUUAGAGAAUGUUCAAGACACUUCUCGGCAGCUCAUGCGGCAGAUUCCCAUUUGAUCAACAUGCCAGGAGGCCUGUGCACGCCCCAGCUUACAUGGGCCACAGCUGGGAGCCUUUAGAGGCGAAUAACACAUCAUUUAGAAAGUCAAACUAAAUGGUCCCCAGAAGCCUCUAGCUAAUGACCAUACAUGCUUAAGUUCAUUGCCAGCCCCCAAGGCAUGUCGAAUCUUAGAAGUUGCUGCUGAAAUGGCUGUUAGAGGUCAACUGAGAAUUAGUCCCCUUAAUUCUCAGGUUGGGAACCUGAGGCCCAGAGAAGGUAUGUGAUGUGGCCGGAGCAGGACUUGACCCCAGGUCUCCUAACCCAAGUUAGUGCUUCUUCCAUUAAGCCAGGGUUCGUUUGGGGAUAGUGAGUAGCUCUCUGCACCAGGUGGUUGGGUGGUGAGGUUCUUAACAUUUCUUUCAAGUUAACACCAAAGGCUCAAAAUAAGUCUGCAGAAGCUACACCGCCCGUGUGCUUUGGCCAAAGCUGUUGGUGGCUGUUGUGCAGACAAUCAUGAACAGGAGGAUUCCAAAAUCACUGGAAUUAGGAAGAUGUCAAGCAGGAUGGGUUUGAGUCCCAGCUCUACCAUUGAGAGCCGUUGGACCUUGGACGAGCUACUUCUGCGAGCUUCAAUCUCCCAUCUGGGAACUGAGUAGAUGGCAGCACUGCCAUGACACUGCUGCCCAGGACAAAACUUGAGAGUCACGCCGGAUUCCUCCAGCUCCCCACCCCUCACAGACCAUCGGUCAUCGAGUCUGGUGAUUCCUAAGUUGAUUCUUUGAUUCACCCAUUUCUCUCCGUCCCCCCGACACUAUCCUAGUUCAGGUUACUCUUCUUGCUGCUGUGGGUCACGCUGUGGUCCCCCAGCUGAUCUCCCCGCUUCUAGUCCCAACCCCUCCG
rnacentral:lncRNA from 1 species